rnacentral:rRNA from 1 species
UACGUAGGGUGCGAGCGUUAAUCGGAAUUACUGGGCGUAAAGCGUGCGCAGGCGGUGCACCAAGCUCGAUGUGAAAGCCCCGGGCUUAACCUGGGAAUUGCAUUGAGGACUGGUGUGCUCGAGUGCGGCAGAGGGGGGUGGAAUUCCACGUGUAGCAGUGAAAUGCGUAGAGAUGUGGAGGAACACCGAUGGCGAAGGCAGCCCCCUGGGCCGACACUGACGCUCAGGCACGAAAGCGUGGGGAGCAAACAGG